rnacentral:rRNA from 1 species
UACCAGCACCCCGAGUGGUCGGGACGAUUAUUGGGCCUAAAGCCUCCGUAGCCGGUUUUACAAGUCCUCCGUUAAAUCCAGCUGCUUAACAGAUGGGCUGCGGAGGAUACUAUAAGACUAGGAGGCAGGAGAGGCAAGCGGUACUCAGUGGGUAGGGGUAAAAUCCGUUGAUCCAUUGAAGACCACCAGUGGCGAAGGCGGCUUGCCAGAAUGCGCUCGACGGUGAGGGAUGAAAGCUGGGGGAGCAAACCGG